UUUCGCAAUGCCCGAAAGGGUGACGAGGCGACGCCGCGUGCGGGAAGAAGGCCUUCGGGUUGUAAACCGCUGUCGGGAGUUAAGAAAUGUAAGGAUGUUAAUAGCAUCUUUGCUUGACUAAGGCUCCGGAGGAAGCACGGGCUAAGUUCGUGCCAGCAGCCGCGGUAAUACGAACUGUGCGAACGUUAUUCGGAAUCACUGGGCUUAAAGGGUGCGUAGGCGGCGCUCCAAGUCAGGUGUGAAAUCCCCCGGCUCAACCGGGGAACAUCGCUUGAAACUAGAGUGCUCGAGCGAGACAGGGGUGUGUGGAACUUCCGGUGGAGCGGUGAAAUGUGUAGAGAUCGGAAGGAACGCCGGCGGCGAAAGCGGCACACUGGGUCUUGACUGACGCUGAGGCACGAAAGCCAGGGGAGUGAACGGGAUUAGAUACCCCGGUAAUCCUGGCCGUAAACACUGGGCACUAAGUAGAGGGGUUUU
rnacentral:rRNA from 2 species